rnacentral:rRNA from 1 species
ACGGGUGAGUAACGCGUGGGAAUCUACCCAUCUCUACGGAAUAACGCAUGGAAACGUGUGCUAAUACCGUAUACGUCCUUCGGGAGAAAGAUUUAUCGGAGAUGGAUGAGCCCGCGUUGGAUUAGCUAGUUGGUGGGGUAAAGGCCUACCAAGGCGACGAUCCAUAGCUGGUCUGAGAGGAUGAUCAGCCACACUGGGACUGAGACACGGCCCAGACUCCUACGGGAGGCAGCAGUGGGGAAUAUUGGACAAUGGGCGCAAGCCUGAUCCAGCCAUGCCGCGUGAGUGAUGAAGGCCCUAGGGUUGUAAAGCUCUUUCACCGGUGAAGAUAAUGACGGUAACCGGAGAAGAAGCCCCGGCUAACUUCGUGCCAGCAGCCGCGGUAAUACGAAGGGGGCUAGCGUUGUUCGGAUUUACUGGGCGUAAAGCGCACGUAGGCGGACUAUUAAGUCAGGGGUGAAAUCCCGGGGCUCAACCCCGGAACUGCCUUUGAUACUGGUAGUCUUGAGUUCGAGAGAGGUGAGUGGAAUUCCGAGUGUAGAGGUGAAAUUCGUAGG